UACGUAGGGUGCAAGCGUUAAUCGGAAUUACUGGGCGUAAAGCGCGCGUAGGCGGUCUUGUAUGUCGAUUGUGAAAGCCCCGGGCUCAACCUGGGAACUGCAGUCGAAACUGCAAGACUUGAAUGUUGGAGAGGUUGGGGGAAUACCUAGUGGAGAAGUGAAAUUCGUAGAGAUUAGGUGGAACACCAGAGGCGAAGGCGCCUGACUGGCCAAACAUUGACGCUGAGGCGCGAAAGCGUGGGUAGCAAACAGG
rnacentral:rRNA from 1 species